CUCACUUGAGGCAAUAAAGUUGUCCCGCCUCAUGCUAACUGCAUGAGGCCCAAGGUGCGCCGAGUGUGUCCGUGCAAAAUUUCAGCGAGAAUUCUUUCAUAAAAAUGCAAAAUAUUCUGAAAAAACAUGAACAACGCAGAGUCCGUGGACCAUAUAGACCAAGGUAUGACCCACCAAAGCUUCUCCGAGCAAAGUAGUAUAGCAGGUUCAAUUUUAGUGGUGCUCAGACAGAUUCCUUUGGAGUAGGUUCUCAGAAAAUUGAAAAUGGCCGAAUGAGAUGAAAAACGGGACUUGGACACCCAAAUGGCCGACUACCUAUCACCUGUCGGCAUAAUGAGUCAACAGCGAACGCAGCGAUCCUGCUGCAGAAUCUGCGUGGCAACGGGUAAGGCAGAGGAGGACGUGGAGGAGGAGGCGCACCUAGGGGAAGACCUCUCUGUGGAAACGAAGCCUGGUCCACCUUUGUGUGUCAGCUUUGCCUCCUCCUCCCAGCUGCUUUCUACACCUACGUUGUCCUCCAACUUCCCGCUCCCUUUGCUCCAUCCUCCAUUUCCAUCCUCCUCACAUCAAAGACACCAAUGCCCUUAAUGCAAAAAUGUAUGACUUUUCCCAUUGUUUAGUCGAGUUAAACAGACUUUCAAGCACCGUUUCCAUUUUUUUCUGCCUUUUUGGCAUUAUGUAACGUUACGUAAUUGUAUCCGGAUAUUUGAGAACAUUUGUCAGACUCUCACUGACAAACUUUUAUUCUCACACGGACACGCUUGCAAUAAAUGCCGCAUUGAGGAUGAAGAUCUCUGGGAUUCAGACGCAGCUGCUUCUUGAGAGAAGAGGGCAGGCUAGCGAUGGCAGAUUCAAUUGAUGUUAAAUAAUAAAAAAAAAAUGAUGUGA